GACGAACGCUGGCGGCGUGCCUAAUACAUGCAAGUCGAACGCAGUGGGGACGGGUGAGUAACACGUGGGUAACCUCCGAUCAGAGGGGAGAAAACUUGGAAACAGGUGCUAAAACCGAUACUGAUGGAGCAACCUGCGGUGCAUUAGCUAGUUGGUGAGGUAACGGCUCACCAAGGCGACGAUGCAUAGCCGACCUGAGAGGGUGAUCAGCCACACUGGGACUGAGACACGGCCCAGACUCCUACGGGAGGCAGCAGUAGGGAAUCUUCGGCAAUGGGCGAAAGUCUGACCGAGCAACGCCGCGUGUGUGAAGAAGGUUUUCGGAUCGUAAAACUCUUUUGUUAGAGAGGCGGUAUCUAACCAGAAAGCCACGGCUAACUACGUGCCAGCAGCCGCGGUAAUAC
rnacentral:rRNA from 1 species